rnacentral:rRNA from 1 species
ACUCCUACGGGAGGCAGCAGUAGGGAAUCUUCCACAAUGGGCGCAAGCCUGAUGGAGCAACACCGCGUGAGUGAAGAAGGGUUUCGGCUCGUAAAGCUCUGUUGUUAAAGAAGAACACGUAUGAGAGUAACUGUUCAUACGUUGACGGUAUUUAACCAGAAAGUCACGGCUAACUACGUGCCAGCAGCCGCGGUAAUACGUAGGUGGCAAGCGUUAUCCGGAUUUAUUGGGCGUAAAGAGAGUGCAGGCGGUUUUCUAAGUCUGAUGUGAAAGCCUUCGGCUUAACCGGAGAAGUGCAUCGGAAACUGGAUAACUUGAGUGCAGAAGAGGGUAGUGGAACUCCAUGUGUAGCGGUGGAAUGCGUAGAUAUAUGGAAGAACACCAGUGGCGAAGGCGGCUACCUGGUCUGCAACUGACGCUGAGACUCGAAAGCAU